rnacentral:rRNA from 1 species
AACGUCCUACGGGAGGCAGCAGUGAGGAAUAUUGGUCAAUGGUCGGGAGACUGAACCAGCCAAGCCGCGUGAGGGAGGAAGGUACAGAGUAUCGUAAACCUCUUUUGUCAGGGAACAAAGACUGGGACGCGUCCCCGGAUGAGUGUACCUGAAGAAAAAGCAUCGGCUAACUCCGUGCCAGCAGCCGCGGUAAUACGGAGGAUGCGAGCGUUAUCCGGAUUUAUUGGGUUUAAAGGGUGCGCAGGCGGUCUGUUAAGUCAGCGGUCAAAGCCCGGGGCUCAACCCCGGCCCGCCGUUGAAACUGG